GUUAACACGUCAAAUAAAUCUGAUCAUCAAAUUAAUUUUUUUUUUUGCUGUGUCAGUCACGAGAAGGAUCCUAUUGUCUCAGCUAUUACAUCUUCGGUACUCACAUAAAUCUCUGCUUCUCCUUUCUCACUCCUCCCUCUUCUUUUUCAAUGUCAAUGACUUACACAGCCUCAUCACACCUGUGAUCACCACCAUAACCCAACUAAUGCCUUCUCGAUGGAAGGGAUCGAUCGGGUUGGCAUUAAAAUCACCUCUAACUUGAAUUGACAACUGAAACUCGGACGAAACUAAACCAGUUACGCUUACUAAUUAAACUACAACCCAAACAACUAAAAAUGCUUUGAAUUACUAAAGCGGGGUGGGUGCCAGCCGAGAAGUGGUCAGAGUCAGUCCCCGGCCCUGCCGUGCCGUCCUAUACUUGUACCACCUGUGAGUCUGUGACCCUAAGGCCUUUCUCUAUUCUGAUACACCUAUUUCUCUAGCCUUCCUAGAUAUCUACUUCUCUCUUAGCUGUCGAUGCUUCUUUUAAUAAUUCACUGUUCCGCGAGGUGGGUUUUUGUCUUUAUGAUGCUCUUUUCUUCUAACUUGUUAACAUCUGUCCCUUUCUCACCGUAUAUUUAUUUACGCGAGCCCCCUGGUCCGGGAGUUCUGGGGCUUCCUUCUCUUCCAUUGCCUGGUUUUGGUUUUGCCCUUUAUUGUCUUUCUAUUUCUUUUAUCCUUCCUGUGCUGGUUUCUUGAUUCAUGUUCUUGUUUUUCUUUAAUCUUCUCUCUGCUGCUUUUUUUCUUUUCGUUUUGGAGCUUUUUCUUUCUUCCUUCCUUCAUCCAAGACGGUGAUUAAAGUUUUUCUAUUCUAGCCUAUGGUGUUCUUCUCAAGUCGUCCUCAACUGGAAAGGAAGAAAGAGCAUUUUCUAGCUAGUUAGGUUCAACAUCUGAAUCUCUUCUUCCUUGGAGACAACAGCAGAGUAGAGUUCACAAAGGAAAAGGUGAAGCUGCCAGCAUGAUCUAGCUUUGGUUAGAGCGACAGAGAGAGCUGCUAACCCUAGCUAGGUCAUGCUCUGACAGCCUCACUCCUUCCUAUUUGGGGACCCAAUAGAUUCCAAACAUCCUUCAAUCUCUUUGGAAAGUGAUAACAAGUCACUUUUUGAAAUGAAACUUUGGAGAUGAGGAUCGUGACUUUGAAUGCAUCCAAUGGCUCCAUCUGAGCAUGCCCACCAAAAGGAUCAAAACAAGUUGAAAGAAACAGAAUGUCAAAAUCAAGAGCUAACUUUAUCAGAUUUUAUAUCAUUUUCUUAAUCCUGCUUUAUCAGGUCCUUUCACUUUACUGAUUAUGACAACUAAACGUUGCUUAAUCCAAACAUUACUUUUAAUUAGACCCAUCAU